AGGGUUUGAUUCUGGCUCAGGAUGAACGCUAGCGGCAGGCCUAACACAUGCAAGUCGAGGGGUAACAGGGAGUGCUUGCACUCUGCUGACGACCGGCGCACGGGUGCGUAACGCGUAUACAAUCUGCCUUAUACUGGGGUAUAGCCUUUAGAAAUGAAGAUUAAUCCCCCAUAGUCUCUUAUUAUGGCAUCAUAAAAAGAGUAAAGGUUACGGUAUAAGAUGAGUAUGCGUUCUAUUAGUUUGUUGGUGAGGUAACGGCUCACCAAGACUACGAUAGAUAGGGGCCCUGAGAGGGGGAUCCCCCACACUGGUACUGAGACACGGACCAGACUCCUACGGGAGGCAGCAGUGAGGAAUAUUGGACAAUGGAGGCAACUCUGAUCCAGCCAUGCCGCGUGCAGGAAGACUGCCCUAUGGGUUGUAAACUGCUUUUAUAUAGGAAGAAACCUUGGUACGUGUACCAAGCUGACGGUACUAUAAGAAUAAGGAUCGGCUAACUCCGUGCCAGCC
rnacentral:rRNA from 1 species